CAACUCCAACACCUACUCCCAAAAAUCCUAAACUUUAGCACAAAAUAUAUACACGACUCAGACAAUAAUUAAAUAUUUGUUUAAUCUACUAUUGACAUCUAAGUCAUGACGAUUCACGAAAGCCAAUUCAAUCUACAAAGACACAGAAUUCCCAAUCUGUACCACCAUCAUAUGUAAAAUCAAAGGCAGUUCCUUGUUCUUGUAUGGUAGAACAAGGACUUGCACCUGAAGCACAAGAGCUAGAUCCCAUUUCCAUUUGCAGUUGAAAGUGGAAGAACCUCCCAGCACUUGUGAAAAUCCUCCGCGCCGACAUUAUC
rnacentral:misc_RNA from 1 species